UACGGGGGGAGCAAGCGUUGUUCGGAUUUACCGGGCGUAAAGGGCGCGUAGGCGGCCUCCGCAAGUCAGUUGUGAAAUCUCCGAGCUUAACUCGGAAAGGUCAACUGAUACUGCGGGGCUAGAGUGCGGAAGGGGCAACUGGAAUUCUUGGUGUAGCGGUGAAAUGCGUAGAUAUCAAGAGGAACACCUGCGGCGAAGGCGGGUUGCUGGGCCGACACUGACGCUGAGGCGCGAAAGCUAGGGGAGCAAACGGG
rnacentral:rRNA from 1 species